ensembl:lncRNA
AUGAGCCACUCUCAGCGUGGGAGGAUGGAGGAACAGCGCUGCUACCUCAGUCCCAGCCAGAUGUCCCUUCUGACUGCAAAUCUCCCCGAACCUGGGAAUAAAGCGCCCUCGUUUUCUUUACAGGACCUUCCUGCCCGUCAGGCCUGUCAUAUGCCUGCUGGUGAUCAAGAUCCUGAACAGUUUUUUAAAAUGGUGACCAACUCUCAGAGUCGCCGACUUGAUGACCAGCGCACAUUUCUACCAUACCUGCCAGGGAUUCAGGGAUCUUCCAGCUCUAAGAAUCAUGAUGAGAUCAAAUCAUCAACUGGAGAAGAAGUUGAGAAGUUGUGCAAAGUGGUGUCCAGGGUCCAGGGCUCCAGAAUGGAAGAGCAGCGUUGCAAUGCACCUGACAUCAUGAUGAAACUGGCCUCUCCAGGCCCACCAAGAAAAAGUCAAUCCAGACCAGCUUCUCCCUCCAGCCACUCACUGCAGGAUAUUUCAGCCUGUGAAAAGGACCAGUUCCUGACCAUUAUGAAACACUCUCAGCGAGGCCGCAUGGAGGAACAACGCUGCUCCUUGGAACCAAUCAAGAAAAGCCACACUGUGUCCUCAGAUCAAGAUGCCGAACAGUUCUUUAGACUUGAUGAUGACCAGCGAGCAACACUGCAGUUGCCAGUGUUACAGGGAUUCGAAAGUUCUAAGGCAAAACAGUCAGCUCCAAAAAUCAUUCUGACUCCAGGGACCCCGGCCUCUCCCAGGAGGUCCUGCUCCAGACCAACCUUUCCCACCCAGAUCUGUCCCGAAUCUUACGGCCAUCCUCAGCCUCCCCCGAGGUCUGCAUCCUUCAGCCCAUUGUCGGACAAGGAACGAAUGCAGACGGUAGCCAGUCCUCCACCCCCGGUGUGUAAUGUUCCAGUUCUGCACCGUUUCAUUUUUUUAUUCUGUCAAACAAGUCUUUAUGAUGAUGAAUGUUUGAGUUCUAACAGUUAUUUGCCCCCAAAAAGUUGACAUUUCAGGUGUCCAUGAGUUUUGUUCCAGUCCAGUAUCACAGAUUUGAAAACCAUGAGUAUCCCCAGCCAGAGGUCUUUCUCACGCUGGGUCCACCAGGAGAGGCCAUUAGGAUUCCACUGAGUCCAGUUCCUCACAGAUCUGUCUCCCUUACACUGUCCCCAACCAGACAGCCUGGAUCUACCAGCUCAUCCCCGAAACACAACCAGUGUCAAGCUGGUGGGUCCAGGCCUUUUGCACCAGGUCGGGGGUCUUCUAAGGGCAGCCCACUCAGUCCAGAUGAGGAUUACUUUUCCCUGAUCCAGAAAGUCCACACGGCACAACUUCAGGGUGGAAAGGGUCGGGCUGGUGGACAGGUGGAAAAGGGGAAAGGGAAAGGCCAGGGUAAAAAAGACAGAAAGGAUUGUGGCAGGAAAAAAUAAGUCUAUAAUACUAAAUACAUAAUAAGACUUAUAUAUUAUAUUAUAAUAAAUACUUUUCAUGCGCACAUCAGACCAAAUUUUAAGUCCACAUCUAUAUAAAUACUAUAAACAUAGUUACUAUAAUUUCCUGAUUGCAGAAUUUCAUCUUAAACAUUUAUAACAUACUUAUAAUUAGUAGCGGGGUUUGCUUUAUCUUUGAAAGAGAUUCCAUUGCUUAAUGUAAAGAGUGUACAUUAUGGGUCAGUUUCCCAUACAUGAAUUUAGAAUUUCAGUGAAACUCUCUAUUCAAAAAUGUUUUUAUUCUUGGACUAGUAUUUGGUAGAACUGGCCCCAAAACUGUUUCCCUUGGGCCAAAAGUUUCGAGCAUCCAUCCACAAGCUUUCUACAAUAGUUUUGGCCCACUCCUCUUGACAGAACUGGUAUAGCUGGGUCAGGUUUGUAGCAGGGCUGGGGCGACUUGUCGACAUUAUGAACUGUGGCACCAGUGAGUAGCAGCAACACGAGUGACUCAUCGAUGCAAGAAGAUGAGCGGUAAUUCCACUAGCGCGAUCGAUCCCCUAUCGCAAAUAGGCGUGUAAAAUGCCCAUGACGUGACGAACGUUUAAGCAUCUUAAAAUCCUGGCUGAUGUUUCAGGCUACUGUUUGUUUUCUGUGUUAAUAUGUUACUGUUAAUCGUCACCUCCCUAAAAUAAUCUGCUUCCACUGCUACUGUUUAUUUGUAUUAAAAAUAAACCACUUUCUGUAUUCAAGCCUUCAAGUUUACAUUGGUUAUUGUAUUCUUUCAAUUGCUCAGAGUAUUCUUUCCUUCAAUUUUUUUUAUUGAAUGCUACAUCUGACAUUGUUUUGAAUUUAUUUUACUCUUACUUGAAUUUCAAUUUGUAUUUGGAAUAAUUAAGAAAUAAUAGUUUUCAUUCAGAUAUGUAAAUUGAUAUAUUAGAAAUCUAUUCAAUUGUAAUUGAUUAAUU